ACGAACGCUGGCGGCGUGCUUAACACAUGCAAGUCGAACGGAAAGGCCCUGCUUUUGUGGGGUGCUCGAGUGGCGAACGGGUGAGUAACACGUGAGUAACCAGCCCUUGACUUUGGGAUAACUUCAGGAAACUGGGGCUAAUACCGGAUAGGAGCUCCUGCUGCAUGGUGGGGGUUGGAAAGUUUCGGCGGUUGGGGAUGGACUCGCGGCUUAUCAGCUUGUUGGUGGGGUAGUGGCUUACCAAGGCUUUGACGGGUAGCCGGCCUGAGAGGGUGACCGGCCACAUUGGGACUGAGAUACGGCCCAGACUCCUACGGGAGGCAGCAGUGGGGAAUAUUGCACAAUGGGCGGAAGCCUGAUGCAGCAACGCCGCGUGCGGGAUGACGGCCUUCGGGUUGUAAACCGCUUUCGCCUGUGACGAAGCGUGAGUGACGGUAAUGGGUAAAGAAGCACCGGCUAACUACGUG
rnacentral:rRNA from 1 species